rnacentral:rRNA from 1 species
UAGGGAAUCUUCCGCAAUGGACGCAAGUCUGACGGAGCAACGCCGCGUGAGUGAAGAAGGAUUUCGGUUCGUAAAACUCUGUUGUUAGAGAAGAACAGCGCAUAGAGUAACUGUUAUGCGUGUGACGGUAUCUAACCAGAAAGCCACGGCUAACUACGUGCCAGCAGCCGCGGUAAUACGUAGGUGGCAAGCGUUGUCCGGAUUUAUUGGGCGUAAAGCGAGCGCAGGCGGUCAAUUAAGUCUGAUGUGAAAGCCCCCGGCUCAACCGGGGAGGGUCAUUGGAAACUGGUUGACUGGAGUGGAGAAGAGGAGAGUGGAAUUCCAUGUGUAGCGGGGAAAUGCGGAGAUAUAUGGAGGAACACCAGUGGCGAAGGCGACUCUCUGGUCUGUAACUGACGCUGAGGUUCGAAAGCGUGGGUAGCAAACAGG